GUCAUGGCGCUAGACUCUCUCUCCAAGGUGGGGCCUGCACAGGCUCCAAUGGCAAGAGGAAAACUGCCAAGGUCAUCAAGGCCAGUAGGAGCGCACAAUUAGCAGGUGACAUUCAUCAACUUGUGGUUGUACAGUCAAAGGUACUUGAGUCAUUGGCAUGUUAAAGUAAUAUACCUGCACGGUAGCCCCUCAAUUCUGAUGUGAACAACCAAUUACUCCAGGCUGUUGCUGCCAUCAGGACUUUGCUGCUGUGAGGACACG